rnacentral:rRNA from 1 species
CCUACGGGAGGCAGCAGUGGGGAAUUUGGACAAUGGGCGCAAGCCUGAUCCAGCCAUGCCGCGUGCGGGAAGAAGGCCUUCGGGUUGUAAACCGCUUUCGGCCGGAACGAAAUCGCCCGGGUGAACAUCCCGGGUGGAUGACGGUACCGGAAGAAGAAGCACCGGCUAACUACGUGCCAGCAGCCGCGGUAAUACGUAGGGUGCGAGCGUUAAUCGGAAUUACUGGGCGUAAAGCGUGCGCAGGCGGUCUCGUAAGACAGGUGUGAAGUCCCCGGGCUCAACCUGGGAACUGCGCUUGUGACUGCGAGGCUGGAGUGUGGCAGAGGGAGGUGGAAUUCCACGUGUAGCAGUGAAAUGCGUAGAGAUGUGGAGGAACACCGAUGGCGAAGGCAGCCUCCUGGGCCAGCACUGACGCCCAUGCACGAAAGCGUGGGGAGCAAACAGGAUUAGAUACCCUGGUAGUCCACGCCCUAAACGAUGACGACUAGUUGUUGGGGUAGAAGUACCUUAGUAACGCAGCUAACGCGUGAAGUCGUCCGCCUGGGGAGUACGGUCACAAGAUUAAAACUCAAAGGAAUUGACGG